GUGCAGUGAUGCUCCUGGCUGGCCAAAGUGAAUUGCAGCACCAUGGAUAGCUCAAUGCUGGCUGGCACUAGGGGAUUGAGGAAGAGCUCCUGGCUGGCUGCUGGGCCUGAACAUAGAAGAGCCCUGAGGUUCCCUGAUUCAUUCAAUGCAGGAUGCAUCUGCUCUAGGAAGGAAUCAAGGUUGUGUGGUGAAGAGGUCUGUUAUCUGUAGCCUCUAUCUCAUUUGUUGCAGAGGUUGGAAGUCUUAUAGAGAAAGCAUUGUCUUGUGUUAGGGCAUUUGAAUGCUGCCCUGAAGAUGUGGAUUUUACCCCUGCCUCUGCCACCAUGUUCCUAUUUGAUGCUGGGCAAGUCACUUACAGCAAACUUUUCACAAGUAGUCACUUGUGUGUGACUGUAGACUGAAGACUGUAUCAUAAUGCAUACUGUGAAAAUGCAGGAAUAGUGUUAUGAAUUAUAUGUAUGACUGUACCUAUCCACUUUGUAUCACAACCCAUUGGGGAUGGGGGUUAAUUUUCUACCCUGGGUCAAGGGAGAAAGGGUAGGUGUUUGAGACGUAGCCACUGGCUCUGUCUGGGCUGGAAUUAACACAUUUCAAUGAAAAACCCUACUGAGACAAUGGAAUCCUCAAGGACCCAACAUUAACUCCUAGAAUUAAUUGCUUCCUACCACCUGUCUGUAGCUAAACAGAGCAAAUGGCCUCUCUCUGUAGAAUAAAGACUAGAGGUGUCAGCUGGCUGUGUUUUAAGCCAUCUAUUGUGAAUGCAGAACACAGACUGAGCAAUAUGGCUCCCAAGAGCAUGUGGCACAUUGGGGUAGUCUCCUCUUCCAAUAUGGACUCUGACUUACUCUUGGCUUUGCCAUAUAACUUAAGGAUUUUCUCAUUGUGUUUUCUAGUUGAUUAAUUUCUGAACUUUUUUUUUUUGAAAGCUAAAUAUUUAGAUAGCCUCUGCCACCAAUUUGCAAGAAGCAGAUAAACAAUAUACUUGUAAAUGAGCUGGAAUUUUGUAUC